rnacentral:rRNA from 1 species
GAUGAACGCUGGCGGCGUGCCUAAUACAUGCAAGUCGAGCGAACAGACGAGAAGCUUGCUCCUUUGACGUUAGCGGCGGACGGGUGAGUAACACGUAGGUAACCUACCUAUAAGACUGGGAUAACUUCGGGAAACCGGAGCUAAUACCGGAUAAUAUUUCGAACCGCAUGGUUCGAUAGUGAAAGAUGGCUUUGCUAUCACUUAUAGAUGGACCUGCGCCGUAUUAGCUAGUUGGUAAGGUAACGGCUUACCAAGGCAACGAUACGUAGCCGACCUGAGAGGGUGAUCGGCCACACUGGAACUGAGACACGGUCCAGACUCCUACGGGAGGCAGCAGUAGGGAAUCUUCCGCAAUGGGCGAAAGCCUGACGGAGCAACGCCGCGUGAGUGAUGAAGGUCUUCGGAUCGUAAAACUCUGUUAUUAGGGAAGAACAAACGUGUAAGUAACUGUGCACGUCUUGACGGUACCUAAUCAGAAAGCCACGGCUAACUACGUG